rnacentral:misc_RNA from 1 species
ACUUGAGUUGCUUGCUCUUUUCCUGGAAAGAAAAUCUGAUGAUCUGAUCUUCUCUUUAAGCAUAUUUCAGAAAUCAUCUACCAAUAACUGCAGUCCUUAAAGACUUGUUGCAGACUGCAGCCAUUCUUUAAGCAGAAUCUUGAGUUUCCCCUUCAAAUUUUUACAUUUUCUUUACCAUCAAUUUCAAAACCCCUUCUUUUCUCUCUCUCUCUCUCUCUCAAUAGCAUUUAUCGUGAAGAAGACUGGGAAGCCAUGCAAAUUCUUGCCUACUGAUCCCUUUUUGGUUAUUCUUGUGUUUCAUUUUCACAAGAAAUAUCCACUCUUGUAGGGGCAAAGUGGAUAAGAACAAAGCUUCCAUACUUUUCCAUUUCAAGGGGAUACACUAUCCCUGCUCACCUGAAAAACAAGAAACUGCCUCUCUGUCU